UACGUAGGGGGGCAAGCGUUGUCCGGAUUUAUUGGGCGUAAAAGCGCUCGCAGGUGGUUCGAUGCGUCGUGCGUGAAAAGACCCCGGCUCAACUGGGGGGGUGUCGUGCGAUACGGUCGGACUGGAAGCCAGUAGGGGGAUGCGGAAUUCCGGGUGUAGUGGUGAAAUGCGUAGAUAUCGAGAGGAACACCUGCGGCGAAGGCGGGUUGCUGGGCUGACACUGACGCUGAGGCGCGAAAGCCAGGGGAGCGAACGGG
rnacentral:rRNA from 1 species